rnacentral:tRNA from 3 species
GCCCCCGUAGCUCAAUAGGAAGAGCAGGGGACUUCUAAUCCCCAGGUUGCGGGUUCGAGUCCCGCCGGGGGUACCA